AAAAUAAAACAAUUUAAUUUUAAAAAAUAAAUAUCGUCGUAAUCAGUGUUAUUUGUGAAAAUUAUUUUCAAUACACAAUGUGUAGUAGCACAAAUUCUUCGGCACGCCACAAAAAUUCCACCACCAUUUCUUUCCAUCAUCAAAAUGCACAACCUCAGCCUUGUGCAUUUAGAAAAAUCAAAAUAAAAAAAAAUGAUACAAAAACCACCACCCAUGGAUUUGGAAAAUAUAGUGGAGAUCAAUUCCAGACAUCAAUGACUGAGUUUAGAGUUCGAAAUUUUCCCCCACGCCAUCCAGAACGAGUGAAACGAAUCUUAUGUUUAGUAGAGACUACAAUACUUGAGUGUGAUCCACAUUUCACAGACUUGUAGUGUCUGCACUGCACCCUCCGACCACUUGUUGAUGUGUUCGCUCUAAUCCUAGACAAAAACAACAUUCAACAAUUCUAUGUCGAGUAUAAAAAUGACGUCAGAGACUCCUUGCUCGCCACACUAUUGGAUGCAGUCCGUUCGAGUGGCAAUCAAGAUGUGCAAGUUCGUAUUAAAAAUACAUUGCGUGGAAAGCAUUUUGUUCCCCUCAACAGUUGUGUGCAUGAAGUGACUCUCCUUCGUUUAGUGAUAAAGAAUUUCCAAAAUUCCUGACGUAGAUGUAAGAUUUAAGAGAAAUUCAACGCCAACAUUCCUCAUAGAAGUCUGAAGUAAAGUGUCACACAAGACGUUCAUGUUUUGAUAUACAAUUCGAAUGAAUAAAUCUAAAUCUCUAACCAAA